UACGUAGGGGGCAAGCGUUGUCCGGAAUCAUUGGGCGUAAAGCGCGUGUAGGCGGCCCGAUAAGUCCGCUGUGAAAGUCCAGGGCUCAACCCUGGAAUGCCGGUGGAUACUGUCGGGCUCGAGUCCGGAAGAGGCGAGUGGAAUUCCUGGUGUAGCGGUGAAAUGCGCAGAUAUCAGGAGGAACACCAAUGGCGAAGGCAGCUCGCUGGGACGGUACUAACGCUGAGACGCGAAAGCGUGGGGAGCAAACAGG
rnacentral:rRNA from 1 species